UGAGACAUGGUUCUCUCAUAAGGAAAAGAAGACACCAUGAGUUCUAAAGGCACUGUAUUUACCACCAAAAGUCUAAGGUGAAGAAAAGAACAGGAGGCAGUCUUCUUUUGAGGCCUUCUACGCUACCAUCUUGACACUCAGAAAUAUGACGAAGGCAGAGUUCAGUUAAUCAUGGGGUUUUGUUGGCCAAAUUGGGUUUGAUUAUCUUACUAGUUAAUUAGUCCAACCCAUACUUAUUGAAUUCCUGCUAUAUAGGAGACUUCUAGAAGAUAUUGAUAUGAGUAGGAGGGCGGAGGUCACUGGCAUAGGUAGGUGUUCACUGAGCACUAACAUAUAUUUAUCCAAUUAGCUACUUAAAUAGAACUGAGAAAAGGGCUCAAAGGGGGAAGGAUCCAGGGUCGUGAGAGCACGAGGGAAACACAGAGGGACAGAGAAGUGCCCCACCCCCAGGGAGCAGCAUGGGACCAGGUUCCGAAGCAGAGCAGGAGGUGACCGGAGAAGAGCAGAGGGCAGGGGACAGAGUCCCUGAGAGAAGGUCGUCUUGGUGGGUCACUGUGUGUUCUGGGAUAUCUGAGCUGAGCAGAGAUGAAAAAGCCUUGCUGUUCUAUGAAGUGGAGCUGGCCCAACAUGUCUUUCUCAUCAGAUGUCACCCCUUUAAAUGUUGACGGCAGUCGGUGUAUUUCUCUAAUUCGCUGAGACAACAUUUCAGUUCCUCCGCCUGCUCAUUCGCUGUGAUUUCUAACCUCGGGACUCGGCCAUCCUCAUCUAGGCAUCGCCAAGUUUAAUGUUCCUAAUGAAGUGUCUGCCUGGUUCCUUACUUCUCCACCUCCAGAAUGACUUGCAAUACAAAAGGAAUCAUAGUUCUUCCCUACUGCUCUACAAAACAUAUAAUUUAGCAUUUUUAAAGAAUGUCUAAUCUAACCCUUUAAGAAAGACACCACCACUCCUGCUUCUCAGAUGAAACACUCUCAG